rnacentral:rRNA from 1 species
UACGGGGGGGGGGCAAGCGUUGUUCGGAAUUACUGGGCGUAAAGGGCUCGUAGGCGGCCAACUAAGUCAGACGUGAAAUCCCUCGGCUUAACCGGGGAACUGCGUCUGAUACUGGAUGGCUUGAGUUUGGGAGAGGGAUGCGGAAUUCCAGGUGUAGCGGUGAAAUGCGUAGAUAUCUGGAGGAACACCGGUGGCGAAGGCGGCAUCCUGGACCAACACUGACGCUGAGUGAGCGAAAGCCAGGGGAGCAAAACGGG